UCCCCAAAAGGUACCGAGAGCCACAGGUGU
rnacentral:piRNA from 1 species